rnacentral:lncRNA from 1 species
GUCCGGGGAAUGGGUUUCCCUUCCAGGGUUUCCAGUCGGUAAGCUCUCGGUCCGUAGGCGUCGGCUACCUUGUAGGGUCCCUCCCAGUUCGGGGACAAUUUUUUCUGAUCCAAGGGUUUUGAGACCUCCGCCUUUCUCAAGACCAGGUCUCCAGGUCGAAAGAGCUUUGGCUUUACCCGGGCGUUGUAAUAUCGGGCCACC